rnacentral:lncRNA from 1 species
UGAGCAUGUGCAGAGUGGUGCUGGUGCUCCUGCUCACUGAGCACACUGUGCCAGGCCCCUUGUGGGAAUUCUCUCAUGAAUCCUUGUAACUCUGCGAAAAAGGUAUUGUUACUACGGCCAUUUUACAGAGAAGGGAGCUGAGGCACAGAGAGGUUAAGAACAUGCCCAAAGUGACACAGCCUGCAAGCAGCAGAGCUGGGAUUUUGAUCCAGGUCCAUGUACUUUGGAGCCGGUGUGUUGUGUCCAUGGAUGUGCGAGACUCCUCCCCAGGAACCCAGGACCCAGCUGAGGCCUCCUCCAGGGAAAACAUGGAUGGCAUAAAAAGGUAACUGAGGGAGACCUUGUGAGAGGAAACAAUGACCGCGUCCUGACCGGCUCUGUGGUGCUGAGCUCCUGCAGGGACCUUGGAAGGGCCCCCACCCACGAGAGCCUCCACGAUAGGACCCCAGCUGCAGGAGCAAGGACAGCUGCCUCAGGAAGACUCUCCAAGGGGCAGGAGCCUCUGUGAGGUGGGGGCUGCAGCUGCCAGGGACACAUCAGUCAUCAAGGUACUCCCGCAAAGCAGCGUCGGCCCUGGGGCCUUCAUCGCGUUGGUUUCCCUGGCUCCUGGGGCCCACGCUGUCCACACUCUUCCUCUUCUCACUCCUUCCCCUCCUUGAAGACCAAGGGCUGGGGUGGCAGAGAGACCCGGGACUCUCAUUUGCUUUGUGACUGGGCAAGUCAUUUAACCCCUAGGAACCUCACUGUCCCCCUCUGCAGAGAGGGGAGAAACGGGGCUGUUGUGGGAUUCUGUGAGACCUUCUGUAGUGCCUGCUACAUGGCGGGAGCUUAAUCAGUCAGGUCCCUUCUGGUCUCCUUCCAAACUUGGCUGCAAAGGCCCAACUCUGGUUCCCGCCCGUGCGUUUCGGGCUCUGGCCUCCUCCUGAGCACUGACUGUCCUACACUUCGGUGUCUGGCUGCCUACAAAGAG